rfam:Tupaia chinensis contig95744, whole genome shotgun sequence.
GUGCUCAAGUCGGCAGCACAUAGACUAACAUUGGAACGAUACAGAGAAGAUUAGCACGGCCCCAGUGCAAGGAUGACAAGCAAAUUCGUGAGGCAUUCCAUAUUAAA